CAAUAGCGUAUAUUAAAGUUGUUGCAGUUAAAAAGCUCGUAGUUGGAUUUCUGGUGGGAGCGAUCGGUCUGGCGCUUAGCGCGAGUACUUGCAUCGUCUCCGGCCAUCCUUGGGGAGAGUCUGUCUGGCAUUAAGUUGUAGGGCAGAGGAUCCUCAUCGUUUACUGUGAAAAAAUUAGAGUGUUCAAAGCAGGCUUAUGCCGUUGAAUAUAUUAGCAUGGAAUAAUAAGAUAGGACUUUGGUACUAUUUUGUUGGUUUGCGCACCAAAGUAAUGAUUAAUAGGGACAGUUGGGGGUAUUCGUAUUCCGUUGUCAGAGGUGAAAUUCUUGGAUUUACGGAAGACGAACUACUGCGAAAGCAUUUACCAAGGAUGUUUUCAUUAA
rnacentral:rRNA from 1 species